rnacentral:rRNA from 3 species
UACGAAGGGUGCAAGCGUUAAUCGGAAUUACUGGGCGUAAAGCGUGCGUAGGCGGUUUGUUAAGUCUGCUGUGAAAUCCCCGGGCUCAACCUGGGAAUGGCAGUGGAUACUGGCAAGCUAGAGUGUGUCAGAGGAUGGUGGAAUUCCCGGUGUAGCGGUGAAAUGCGUAGAGAUCGGGAGGAACAUCAGUGGCGAAGGCGGCCAUCUGGGACAACACUGACGCUGAGGCACGAAAGCGUGGGGAGCAAACAGG